UACGGGAGGCAGCAGUGAGGAAUAUUGGUCAAUGGGCGAGAGCCUGAACCAGCCAAGUAGCGUGCAGGAUGACUGCCCUAUGGGUUGUAAACUGCUUUUAUCAGGGAAUAAAGUGCGGCACGUGUGCCGUUUUGUAUGUACCUGAUGAAUAAGGACCGGCUAAUUCCGUGCCAGCAGCCGCGGUAAU
rnacentral:rRNA from 1 species